rnacentral:lncRNA from 1 species
AGCCGGAAGUGGCAAUCUGUUUGGGUCUCCUUCUACAGUGUGGAGGUUUUAUUCUUUUGCUCUUUGCUGCAAAUCAUGCUGCUCACUGUUCGGGUCCAGGCUGCUUUAAUGAGCUGUAACACUCACUGCGAAGGUUUGUAGCUUCUCUUUUGAGGCCAGAGAGACCAUGAACCCAGGGGGAGGAAUGAACAACUCCAGACGCGCCUCUUUAAGAGCUGUAACACUCACCGCCUAGGUCUGCAGCUUUGCUCCUGAGCCAGCGAGACCAGGAACCCACCAGAAGGAAGAAACUCUGGACAUGCCACCUUUAAGAACUGUAACACUCACCGCGAGGAUCUGCAGCUUCAUUCUUGAGGAGCUCCCUGAAAGGCUGAAAUGUCAGCUUGUCAGUGUUUCCUGUAUGCCUGAGCGCUCUCUCCCUGGUGAGACGCAGGGCCUGCUCCGUCAGGAUGGAUGGUUUAAUCCCACCUGCCACUGGGGGGGGACCCCGGUUGCUUCACACCAACUCCUGAGCUCCUCAAAUGGGGAGUGUCACGAGUGGGCAGGGGCAGCUUCCCUGUCUGAGCACAUUGGAAACAAGUCCCGGUCAUUUGCAUCAGGACUGCCUCGAGGCUUUUCAAAUUCAGACAACAUCUGGUCUCUGCAGAGAAAAAUAACUAAUUCACACUGUGACCUCCCAGAAAGAUCACCACUUCGUCCUGAAGCACUCCCUUGCCGGCAGGUGUUAAUGCCAGGUAAAAAGAGAGCCCCUGUCUAAUAGUCUCCACCUCUGGAAUGGAAAAAGCUGAGCUGGGUCAAAGGAGCGUGACUUCUGGGCAGCCCCUGGGUAGACUUCUUUCAGGAAUCUGCCUCCUUCUCCACCUCCACUUAACCUCUUUCUUUAGACCCUCGCAGAAAGCUGGAGUCAGGCAGCAGAGGCUAAGAUGGCUGUGCCUGGGCUUGGUGAGGCCAGAGAGCAAAGGCAUCUCUGCACCAUCUCAGAGACCCUUUCUCAGCCCUUAGCUACCUUCGAGCCCCAGCUCCAGUGGGCUCUCUCCGCACCAUGAGAGGACAUCUCUCCAACCUCCUCCCUGCAUCUUCUUGAGAACUAGACACCCCUCUCAGAGUUAGGGGUGUAUGCGCCCCAUCUUCUCUGCACAGAUUAUGAUCUCUCUCAGGACACUGCUUUAUGCCCAGAACGCCUGUCCAGGGGAGGCUUUUCUAUAAAUGUUGAAAGAACAAAAUGAAUGGGGCCCAGCUCCAUGCUCAGCACUACCUUGUCUCCACGCCACAUUUCUGAACAUCUCUUUCUCUAAUUUUCGACCCUCAACUUGGCCUGUCAGACAGUGUUGAACUUCCCUUUCCCUGUCUUUCUCAGGUGCAGACUUUUCUUUGCUACCUAGCAUUUACAGAAAUUACAAAUCUUCCUCCUUUCUCAAUUUGGCCUCUGUCUCAGCCAGGAUGUUGGGCUGCUGCUUUGACCCGUUCUCACAAACUGACAGCCAUCACCAAGGCCAUUGCCCUUGCCCAAGAAGAAAAAUAGGGCAACAUCCUUUGUGUUCUUAGAUUGAUUAUCCCAGAUUCAUUCAAAGGACAUGAAUUCAAUAACAUCAAGCUCUCCUCUACCCAAGCAAUGGGAAGUGCAGGUUUCCCUGCUAGUGACCCACCUUACAUGCGACAUGUGCCACCCGCUGCCUUGAGGGUUGAAUCUGGAGCUGUAGGCCAUCUCUCCAACAGGAUCACCAUUGCAGAAACUCGCUAUCCUUUUCAUGUUGGAUAGAUAUAGGGGGUUGAGUAGCAUCCUUGCCCACCCCAUCCCCAAAGUCACGUCCUUCCCAGAACCUCAGAAUGUGACCUUAUUUGGAAAUCACAUCAUUACAGAUGGAAUUUCUUAAAUAAGGUCACACUGGAGCAGGGGAGGCCCUCAAUCCACUGUUACUGGUGUCUCAUAAGAAGAUGACAAAAGACAGAGACACACAGGGGGAAUAUCAUGUGAUGUUGGAGACAUAAGUUAAAGAGAUGCGUCUAUCAGUCAAGGAACUCCAAGGAUUGCCAGCAAACCCGGAAGCCAGAGGAGAGGCAUGGAACAGACCCUCCCUCAGAGCCUGCAGAAGGAGCCAACCCUGCCAACCCCUUGAUUUCAGUCUUCCAGCCCCCAGAACUGUGAGACAAUCAAUUUCUAUCACUGUGAGGCUCUUGGUUUGUGGUCAUUUGUUAUGGCAGCCCUAGGAAUCUAACAUAAUGGAAUAAAGAAUCUUGUAUUUGAGAUCUUUUUCAAAUAUUUUCAUUUUUAAAAAUCUUAACUCUAUAGAAUUUUACUAAAUGGGUCUUUUUGUCCUUAACCUCUAAUUAGUAUAAUUUUUUAGCCUAUCUCUUUAUGUGAAUCUAUCCAUCCUCUCUCACAAUGUCCAGAAUUGGAACACUAAAUGUACUCCACUGAACAGCAUUCAGACCAGGCGCACUGGCUCACGCCUGUAAUCCCAGCACUUUGGGAGGCUGAAACAGGAGGUUAGCUGGAGCCCAGGAAUACAAGACCAGCCUGGGCAACAUAACGAGACCCUAUCUCUACAAAACAAAAACAAAAACAAAAAAUAUGAAUAGCAUUCAAUAUAUAGUCUUUUCUCAACUAUAUUCCCCCUGGAUGAGAGUGGUCCCUGCGAAUGACCUCGAGACCCUGUUAAAAUGCUGAUUUGGAUUCAGUAGGUCUGGAGUGGGGGUGGAAUUUUCUGCAUUUCUACCAGGCUCUGGGGGGUAUUGAUGUCACUGGUCCAGGGACCCCCUCUCCUUUGAGCAACAAGGAGAUAAACUACUCAAAAGUGGUGAUCUACACUCAUCUCUAUUUGACUUUGGAAAUGCCUUUAUAUUUAAACUGGAACACAAGUAUAUCUUAUGUUUAUGAAGUUAGAGGCAAACAAUCUAAUAAAGUCACACUGAAACAUCCCACCUGGAGAGGAGCUAUGGAGGCUGUUUCCACAGUCCUGCCCUCACUCAACAAAGAUUUAUUCAAGAUUUGCUAUGUGUUAGAAACUGUGCCAGGCUGAUGUCUUGCUUAAGAACGAUUCCUCUCUCCUCUCAUCCUAAUAAUGAAUGGCAUAGCCUUUCAGACUCACACAGAAAUCACCAACUGAUAGCAGCAGGGUGACUGCUUUCUCUCUGGGAUCCGCUCACAACCGUGCUGGACAAUGUAUUGGCUCCAAACACACCUGGAGAGCAGGGGUGGAGGAAAGUCACAGAAAUUUCCAGCCCCGGCUGAGUUAGAGAAACCAAGGUUCUUGGCUGGCUUAAUAAAGGAAAUGGAGACAGGCAAGGCAAACCCACUGAAAAGUUUUCCUGCACUUUGGUAACCCAUUAGAUGCCAACCAGAAGCUACAUUGAACAGCUUGAGCUUGAGAUCCUUUCUGAAGAAGUUUUAACGCAUAGGGAAAGGCUACAAGGACAAGGAAUUCGAGGUCAGGAUGGGGGUGAAGAAUUGAAACAAAGCCAUGGUCUGGUGUGUGAUGUGUGUGUGUAAAAUAAAGCCAGGCUGGACUUAGGCUCCGGUAGAACGGAUUGUCACCUGCAUGGAAAGGGAGGGACAUGGGGAGCCUUCCACCUGGAAACAGCAAGAGAUUCCCGGAGUGCCACUCAUACCCUUCAUUUUUCAUGUGUACUCAUUGAUUUCUUCAUUGAUCAGGUAUCAGCUGUGUGCCAGACACUGUAGGGGAACUAAAAGGAAUUAAUUAAUAAGCGGAGCGGCACUUUCCCAAAAGCGGCCAUCUUGGAGCAAGCUGUCACAUCUCAGCGGGAGGAAGUUCUGUGGAAACGCGGAGGGUGCCAUUUUCACACUGCCGAGCAGAUUCCUACAAGAGUUCCUACAGGAAAGAUGGUUUGGGGUUUAUCUGGCAGAGGGAACAACAUGGUAAGGUUCAGAGGCACGUUGUGAGCCAGAGCAGGUGUUCUGAGGGGAGAUGCCGUCGGAGGAUGUGUGAAAAUGUUUCAAAGCCGUGCCGUGCCAUUUCUCCUGUGGCAUGCUGGUUUCCAAAAUACGUUCUCAUGAGCAACAGUCCCACAAGAGUCUUUGAAAUUCUGUGAUGUAAAUGCUGUGAGAAAUGCUAUCUGAUAUCUCUCCUAGGCUUGGUAUGGUAGGUAGCUCACGCCUGUAAUCCCAGCACUUUGAGAGUCCAGGGUGAGAGGACUGCUUGAACCCAGCAGUUUGAGACUAGCCUGGGCAACAUAGUGAGACCCCACCCCUACAAAAAAAAAUUAAAAAUAGCUGGGUGUGGUGGUGCAUGCCUGUAGUUCCAGUUUCUUGGGAGGCUGAGGCAGGAGGAUUACAUGAGCCCAGGAGUUCGAGGCAGCAGUGAGCCAUGAUCAGGACUCUACAUUCCAGCCUGGACAACAGAGAAAGGCCCUAUCUCAAAACAGUCAUAAUAAUAAUAAUAUCUUUCCUUGUCCCUAGGACAUUCAAAAUACACAUCAGCUCUUUAAAGACCAUAUGAAGUCUCACACUAAAGAAGUCUCCUGGCCGGGCAUGGUGGCUUAUGUCUGUAAUCCCAGCACUUUGGGAGCUGUAAUCCCAGCACUUUGGGAGGCCGAGGCUGGUGGAUCAUGAGGUCAGGAUAUUGAGACCAUCCUGGCCCCGUCUCUACUAAAAAUACAAAAAUUAGCUGGGUGUGGUACCGUGUGCCUGUAGUCUUAGCUACUCAGGAGGCUGAGGCAGGAGAAUCGCUUGAAUGAGGUUGCAGUGAGCCAGGAUUGUGCCACUGCACUCCACCCUUGGUGACAGAGUGAGAGUCCGUCUCAAAAAAAAAAGAAAGAAAAAAAGAAACUUCCUAAACUUAUUCAACCUAGGGUUUCCCAAAAUUACUUGACAACAGAAAUCUUGUUUCACAUAAUUACUUUGAAAAGCACUUUUAAAAAUUCAUGGAGCUUUUGAGGGCGGGGACGUGGUAGUGUAACCAGAUCUGUGUUUUCUAGAGAAGUUGUCCCCCUUGAGGAUGUCUACAAGGUGACCUUCUCUUGGGGCAGGUAACCUUCAGCAACUUAUCUGAACAAAUGCCAUCUGAGCCACCACUGCCCCUCCCUGGGCCAGUCAGGGGAGCCUCCAGGCAAUUCGCCCCUGCUUUCCGCCUGGUCCAGGUGGUGCAGGUCAGAUCUUGUCAUGGCCAAGCAACUGCUUGGAUGGCCCCAUCUCCCUCUGAACAAAGUCCAGCCCCUCCCCUUGGUUCCUGGCACUCUCUGCCUUUCUUGCCCAGUGCUAUGGCCCCUCCCUCAGGCCUCAGUUGAAGCCACAGUCCCAGCUACCCCCAACAGAAACCAAGCCCUGGCUCUAUGUUCCCUCAUAGCCUCCCUGGCUGGAGAAAAAAAAAAAAGAAUACAAAAAGUUCCCUCUUUCUGCAGAAAAAUGUGAGAGGAGGGCAGAGGUGCCCCACCUUCAAUGAGUCUGGUCUCUGCGUCUGCUGGCAACAUAUUCUAGAAUCCCUGUACAUUUGCACAGUUUCUACUCUCAUUGCUUUUGAUGGCACCCUCAACCAGGAGGUUCUGUGAGACAGGAGUCCCGAAGAAGAGAGCUCAGAGAAGAGCCCAGGGGAGGGGGAGAAGCACUCAUCUACUAUGGGUCCGUUUUUGAGGUCGCAUGAGUCCCAUCCCCAUGAAUAUGCAGGAAGCACACAGUCCAUUCGUUAGUAUCUGAAAUGGAAACGAAUUGAAGACAAAGAACCGAGGAGGGGGCGUUGUAGGUAGACACCCACCAGAUAAGCAGCCUGAGAUUCGCCCACUGUCCUAAGCCCCAGAGCUCUGAUCCCCAAAGGGCUGUGCUGGUUUUAUCUGCAAAUGGGAGUGAAACCACCUUUGCAGAAAUUAUAACUGAGAAAAUUGUGACAGUGAAAGAGAUCUGACUGAACUGACUCCGUCUUGCUUCUCACCUCCAAGCUCUCCUUGUUCUUUCCUGGGCAGAGGCCAAACUAACUUGGGGAGGAACUUAGUUUAUAGUUUGACUUUGAAACAAAGACGGUAACAGCCCUUUCCCAAAACAAACUCCCUUCUUGCCUGGGAACUAGACUGCCUUUGCAGGACUAACAAAUUAGCCAAAAGAUUAGAAAUUAUGGUUUAGGAGUCAUGCAGCUGGAGGCUACAAGGUUCUAAACUUCCCCAGUUUCUCCUAGGGAUGACAUCACAAUUGUAAAACCUAAGCCUGGUGCUUGAGAUGUUUUUCAGACCCUGCCCUCGAUGGAUCAACUGGCGCCUCCCAGAUCAAUAAACUGGCUCAUUUAGUCUUGUGGCCCCCACCCAGGAACUGACUCAGCACAAGAGGACAGCUUUGACUCCCUACGAUUUCGUCUCCCACCUGACCAAUCAGCACUACCCCCACUUCCCGACCCCCAAUCCCCAAAUUUUCAGGGAGACUGAUUUGAGUAGUAAUAAAACUUCAGUCUUCCAUACAGCUGGCCCUAUGUGAAUUAAACUCUUUCUCUGUUGCAGUUCCCAUCUUGAUAAAUCGGCCAUGUCCUGUCUAGGCAUACAGGCAAGGAGAACUUGUGGGGCGGUUACAGGAGCCUCUGCAGGGCCACAGGGCAGGUAAUUGAGGUGAGGGAGAAGCGCGUCAGCAUUCCCACUAGGUACAGGCUUUUUGAGAAUUCACCAUUCAGAGGAGCAGCUGGGCUGACGCCCUGGGUGGCAGUGAGGGUGGAUAGAGGCAAAGCCACAUUUCCAGUGUGCUCCAAGUUGCACAGCGAGGGCUGCAGGGCCUUCCGUAUUGACAAACUCUGAAUCCUCACGAGGGGUGCUCACCACUCUGGAACAUCACUCCGCCGUUAGUCCCUCAUUGUUUUCCCACAGGCUCCUUCCCCUCUGCCUUCAAACAGGCAAGGUCUCUUUAGACACACACACACACACAACACACAGAGGCAGACACAAAAAGACACAGACACAGAUAUACACACAGACACACAUGCACACACAUACACAGGGACACAGACACAGAAACAAAGACAAAGACACGCACACAGACAUAUAUACGCGCACACACACACGCACACAUUCCCCACACCUCCUUUUCUGGCUACCUUCUAGACUUUUCCUUGUCUUUAGUCGACAAACUUGUUUAGUUGCUGGCAUCUUGGCAGCACAUUCCCUCUCUGAUCUGUCAUGAGGCUCCCACCUGGUGACACUACAUUGGCUUAGACCUUCCUGAAGGCAGUGAUAACCUUUUUCUUGUCUAUUCUGGUCUUCACCCCAUGCUGUCCACUCAGGCUCUGUCACCCCAACCCUCUCAGCCAUCCCUGUACCUGCCUCGUGCUUCUGUCUCCUACUGGCCACCAGUCUGUCCUGCAGGGGUGAUCUCGAAUCUACCAGACUUCUCUAGACGUUCUCUCUGUUCAGAUUCAUCUCUGAAGCUGGAUGACAAGCGAUGCAGCACCUGUCCCUGAGUCCUCAGGUCCUGGGGAAUGGACUGGGCAGAGGGACAACUAGGGAAUAGGGUCAGGAGUGGGAGGAACCCAUGGAUCCCAAUUCCAGACAUUUCAACAGAACUGUCCUUUGUAAGACUUCUGGGUAGAGGCCAGGAUACUGCUGUGCUAGUCCCUCCAUGGAGGGGGCAUGUCCUGGCUGGCUCUGUUGGGCCUGGGAGACUCCCCCAUACACUGAGAGCACUGCUAUAGUAGGGUCUGCCUUGCCAAAAACUGCGAAAAUCACCACUGUUCCCUUCAGACUUCCCUCCAGCCUCCAAACUUCCUUAAUGGCAAAGACUGGCCACAUAAAUCAGCCAGCGGGCCAGCCAGCCCUACUACAGAAUGGGCUGACCGGAUGAAGAUGGGAUGCAGGUGGCCUUCCAGGACAGAUGACCCUGUGGCAGGCGGGGACAGGAGCUAUCUGGGGCAUAAAAUUGCCUUUCUCAAGCUGACAGGCCUGUGAGAUUGGUCCGCUGAUGCCUGGCAUUGGGGACUCAGCUGAAAUGUUUGGUGUUCUAUAGUGACAUGGCCCUGCUAUGAGACACUUUAAAGGCAUCAGGAAUUCUGUUCCAAUGUCCCUUUGUUUCCUCUCCUGGCAGACUCAUGCAUUGCUUUAAAUAGUCUGCCUGGAGUCACCACUCAUGCACAUAAGCCUAUUCUCGGGGCGUGUUUCUUCGGAUUAGAUUGUUUCUUCCCACCUCCAAGUUUGUUUUGGCGCUUCCUCUCCAGGUACGGUGGUGGCUCGGCCUUGUGACUGGGCAAAGCAUCCCAGGUGGCUGCCGUCCCCUCCAUCUGCUUGUGGGCAUUGAAGGCAGAGCCUUUCUUUUGGAACUCAGCUUGGCCGAGUGUGGGAGUCUAUUUUGAUCUUUUCUCCUGUUCAUGGCCAGGACCAGAGCUAGGCACGCAGACCCCAAUGGAGCCUGCUUUCUCAAGGCAACUGUCCUCCUGCUACAUGAAUGAAUCAUCCAGGCUUCUGUCCAGGGUCUCGGGAAUUUGGCUUCCAUGUCAGGGACGCUUGACACAAGCCACACAUCCUUAAGCCUCGUCGUUCCUUCCUCCGAGGGUAGAAAGAUGCAAGGCUGGCUGGCAGCCACUGCGAGGGGUGUCCUUUACGGCUGUCCAUAUUAAUCUUAUUUUGGUCUAAUGCUUACUGCCAGGGAAGAAAUCUGCUAAUGGUACUUUUCUUUGUUUUAUUUCAAUCUGGCAACAGGAAAUUGGCUUUUUAGGGGAGACUACAAAGGGCAAAGUAUUGGUUCUGGUGCCCUCUGGUGGUUGAACUGCAAUCUCGUCGCCUCCCCGGGAACUCCCCGACUGGCUGGAGAGAAGCAUGAGUUUGCAGUUCGGCUCCACUGCACGCAUGGCUUUAGAUCGGUCUGGAGUUGGUUAGGUUACGUUUCCAAAUCUCCAGUUAUAAAAUUAGGCCUUUUUUCCUUGUGUAAUUUCCAAUUAGAAAUUUGUUCAACGGGUUAGUAUCUUGGGUCUAUCUAGAAAAUGGAUUACUGGAUGUCAAAACAAUCUUACUUGCCAUACUUUGUAACCUGAAAUUUUUGUACUCAACAUUUGCCAAAAGAUUGAGGUGGCUGAGGCACAGGGGAUGUGUUUCCAGACAUAAUUAUAUCUCUGGCUCCCAAGAGAAAUAUGACAUACUCCUGUUAAAAGGAACAUACAAUGAAGUAAAGUUGAAUUAAAAUGAGUAAGUCAUGACAAUUCUCUAUUUUAUUUUAUGAGAUUAGAGUAAUUACUCCUGAAAUAGGAUCAUAGCCUUUGACUUCAUUGAACAAGACAGCAAAACAGGUUGCAUGACUGGGGUGUCAGCAGCCAAAUAUAUGGUCCUGAUUGAGACAUAUGGGAAUUUUUUUUUUUAAAUGACACACGGAGCACUGCUUCUUAUGGUGGUGCUGUUCCCCCAGCUGAACCCUGCCAGGUACCAGCCCCCCCAUAGAACUUGCGACUCUCCCUUUGCAUCAUGAAUGAACUAAGCUCACUCACAGUUGCUUGCUAAGAAUCAAGAGAACUUGCUCGAUCAACCCUUAUUCCUCCAUCUUCUCUCCUGCUGUCUGCAGUCUGCGAUGCUCGCCUUCCUUUCUUCCCCAGCUCAUUUGCCUCCCACCUGGACUUUCCUGUCUGCAGAGUGCCCUUGAACUUGAGCCCUUUCCAAGUCUGUCCUCAUGAGUUAUCUCCCUUUUGCAGCUUUGACAUUCACUGGAGAACUUUUUCAAUUGUGCCUCGCCUCCCAGCAUUGAGGAUCUGCCGUUCACUUUGGGGUGCUGACUUCAAGCAGGAAAGACUUCUUGACUCCUGCCAGCAAGCAGGCUGCCCCAUGCCCCAUGCCCCAUGCCCCAUGCCUCCUCACCUGUGAAGUGAGGAGGUCGGGCUUGAUCACUGGUUUCCACUCCAGAGGGGUUCCCAGGAGCCUCUAAAGAGGUCUCUCAACCACCUCUUAUGCUCUGUUUGGAGAAGUUUUACCUUUUCAUCAGUUUUUCAAACUGUGAUUGUAAGAUAUAUUUCUUUUGGGAAAAAGACUGUGGCUUAAAAAGGUAACGUUUAAAGAAAAGUUUUUAAAAAACAAAAGACAAGAAGAUCUAAUAUCCCUGCCAAAGCUCUCAAACACUUCAGAAUCUCCUCCUCUCCCAGCUCCUGCUCCCUGGCCUCUCCUUGGGUGGGAAGGCAAUGAGUAAGUAAUACUUUAUAGACAGCAUUCUGCACUGGGCUCCAGCCGUCAGUGCUUCUAAUGGGUCUUGGGCAGCUGUCCCGGGCCAGAUAAGUCACAUUAAAGCUGAGAACAAAACCAAAGGAUUGGAUUUCUUUUUAAAUCAGGAGGGGAAAAAAUGUACCACUUGAAGCUCCCAGUCGGUCUGGGUUCCUGGAAGCUGUUGACUUGAAUUUAAAAGAUGUCUUCAAUAAUCAUGACCAUCUUCAUUUUUGAAACUUCUUGGGCAGGUUUCUUCUUUGUUUUGGUAGAGAGUUGUUCUAAAUAACAGCACGAAAUUUGCCUACUCUGGUGUCAGGCUAAGACAUGAGGAGCGAAGGGAAACUAAUAUUUAUCUAGCUCACUUCCAGUUUCAGGGGCUAGGUGUAGAUUAACUGGGGGAAUACUCAGGGCAAGCCGGAGUGUCCCCAUGCUGUACAUCACUGACUUUAAGAACUUAGUCACAUGCCCACAGUCACACAGCUGGUAUGACGAGAAGCCAGGAUUCAAACUAGGGCUGGCGGAUGCUUGCAUCUGCAAGGUUCUGCAGAACACAUGGAGCCUGGAAAGGAAGGCUCCGUUUGGAAAAUCCUUCUGGGGUCCAGAAGCCUCCAUAAAUAGGGCACCAUAUAAUUUAUCUUCUAAAUGGGUACACUUGUUCAGGAUCAAUGCUAAAGCGUAUGGGAUGUGAGGACAUCAGGCAUAAAAUGGUACCAUCAUGGGGAAACUGCAAUAGACGUUCAUCCCCCUCAUCAGGUAGGCUAGGCAAAUUCCUACGAUGCCAAGAAGCGAGGCUACUAUCAGGAGAAAUGGAAGCAGCAGCAUCAGGGUAUGAACUGGGUCUCGCUCUAAAUCCCUCGUUCCUUCCUCCCCACUACAUCAUAAUCCCUCCUAAUGCGCUGUCUUCACAAGCCCAAGAACAUACCCAAUUCCCUGAAGUGUAUGCCAGCCAGGUCUCUGGUGAGCACAGGGGAGAAGCCUGGAGACAGUUCCAACAUAAAACUUCAUCAUCACUGAGCCAUCCCAGGGAAAAGGUCCAAACCGCAUUCUGGUUCUAAAACCCAACUGGAAGCUUUGUGCAAUCGGCGAGAACUUCAUGAAUCAGACUUACUGACCUGGAGGUUAAAAGAAAGAGCGAUCCCCUUCCUACUUUUUCAGAUUCCUCUACUUCUCUCUGUCCUUUAUUGAAGCUGAAAAUUAGCAUAUUUGUUGGAUCGUGGCUGACACUGAUGGUCUGAAGUAACCAGAAAGCUCCCACGGAUAAGUUGUUCUCAGCCUUGGGAAAGGAAGCUGGAUUCAUCCCACCACUUUAUUUUCUGUGUUUCUGAUGCUUUGACAUCUUGUGCCUUACUGGCCCUGGAGAGACUUUACUCCUCUCAGGGCUGCCAUAUUCCUAGAGAGAGUAAAUGAUCACCUUCCAGAGAGCCUUUCAUAUAUAUGCAAACCAACCAAUCCAGAGCCACACCCCUAAUACCCCCUCUGUGGUCUCUCAUACUGGGGCCACUGUCCACCUGCCCUAAUCACCCCAGUGCAGGUACCAGACACUAGGGCCAGCCCUAUGUCCCAGAGACUGCUGGAAAAUGUCAAAUUAGCCAAUCCUAGGACUGUUUAUCCUCCCUCACCUAUUCCUUCCCGAAUAAACCAUAAUAUUCUUGCCUGCAUUUUCCCCUCACUUCCUCUGCCUCCCAACUGGCCCUGCUGCUUCUUAGAUGGCCCCUGGUGGCCUGGUGCCCCCUCUUGGCAGCUGCAAGUAACAAACUAGCUUUUCAAUGGCAACUAUCUCCUGAUCUGUUGACCUUACGAUACCUCAUACUAAUAAAACCUACAUUUUGAAAUAGAAGCCAUCCCCUCCAAAAGUCAUGAGCUCUCUUUUCCUCCCCCUUACAGAUGGUCUUAGUACGUAGGAAGAGCAGGAGUGGGCAAAGGCGAUGGUGGUUCCAACACAGAAUUGCAUCUUCACCAAGAACAACAAAUGGCUGGCUUUCUCCUCAGUGGCAGUCAAGUAAAGAAGUGGGAAGGGGCAGCUUGUUAAAAAGAUGCCCCAGUAAAAUGUGAUCAUAGCAUCAUCUGUGUGUGCCUCACACUAAGCAAAGCACCACUCUGUAUUAGAAAAAUAAAGCCAUCAUCAAAAACAGGUAACUAAUCACAGCUCUGCCAGAGACAUUGCCUCCUAUGAUUAUCAUCAUGGGGGUCUGUGAGCUGCCUAAAAUACUUUUUGGAGAAAAAUUAAUUUAAAAUAUACAAAUUGAAUUCACUGCAUUCAAUUGCAAAAAAAAUUUUUUUUCAAAGAAGCUUUUAAUAGUGAAGAUAUUAAAUGUAAAAGAACGGAAUAUUCCCAGUUAAAAGGCAUCCAAGUAAUGCCAGCAUUUUCUCCCCGUGGUACUCCUAUUGGUUAUUAAUCUUGAAAUGUGUUUGCAAGAGUUCUCAUUUGUUUCAAAGUUAAGAAACAAAUGUGCUCCCCUGUGAGAACAAAGUCCAUAAAUAUUUUAUGUAAGUGAGAGAAAUGAAUUCAUUCCAAGAACAUUCGUCAUCCACAGUUAGGACAAGAAAUUCACUUUGCCCACCUCAGCCUGACAGUGUCUGCCUGGAAGGUGUCUGUAAGCCCAGUGUUAAUUGAUGCACACUCCAUUUUUUCCUACUCACCCUUUAGCCAGCGUUGCUAUGCCAACGUCAGUUAGCUUCAUUCCUACACCUACAGGAAGAGAAAGCAAAGAUGGGAGUUUGUGUUACUCAGGGCCCCUCAGGAAGUUGGGCCAUCUAGCCCCAGGGAAGGGGUAAUGACAGCUCAUCCUCCUUCUCCUUCCUGCAUAAACACUCGAGGCCUCUUUCAUAUACGCAUCCAGCUUUAGGCAGGGACCAUGGGGAAGGUGGCAGUUAGGGGGAAUCAAGUCUCAUGUGAGCAGACAACCCAAGCCCUCUCGGCUCUGGAAAUGAAGUCCUCUGCCUGCCUGGCCCACCCACCCCAUGACAAGGAGGGAGCUGGCCACUCUGUGAGAAAAUCUGAGGCCUGAUGCUUGUCCCGUAAGCAAUCUCCCCAGAAAUACGGUGACUUUGGCUUAGGUCUGGCUCCCCGUUCUUCAAUGAAAGUGGAAACCCUUACAUGAUGGAAAGAAAAGUAGGCACGGCCUGGGAUAGUCAAUGCCAAUAGCAAGAGGGUUUGAUAUGGUUUGGCCAUGUCCCCACCCAAAUCUCAUCUUGAAUGUAGCUCCCAUAAUUCCCAUGUGUGGUGAGAGGGACCCAGUGGGAGAUAAUUGAAUCAUGGGGGCAGUUUCCCCCAUACUGUUCUCAUGGUAGUGAAUAAGUCUCAGGAGAUUUGAUGAUUUCAUAAGGGGCUUCUCCUUUUCCCUUGGCUCUCAUUCUGUCUGUGGCCUGCUGCCAUGUAAGACGUGCCUUCCGCCUUCCACCAUGAUUGUGAGGCCUCCCCAGCCACAUGGGACUAUGAGUCCAUUAGCCUCUUUUUCUUUGUAAAUUACCCAGUCUUGGGUAUGUCUUUAUCGGCAGUGUGAAAAUGGACUAACACAGGGCUCAAGGGGCAUGUGUUUAGUUCAAAGCCAAACUUCAGACAUAUGAUUUCUCAUUUCCAUAAAGAUCGUUUUUCAAUUCAGGACUGAAGGUUUUCUGGGUGGUCAGUGUUAGACCCCGGGAAACAAUCCUGAGUUCUAUGUAGACACUGAACCAAUGGCCUGGCGAAGCAGACAUUUGGAACACGUGGUCCUUGGACUCAUCCUAACUGCUACCCACUAAACCAUGGUGGGGAUAGGUGGGGGAUAUCAAAACCAAAACAGUAGAACAGCUACCUGAGCUUCCCACUCUGGUUCAGCAAAAAGCAAUAGGCACCCAUUGCAAGCAUAUGGAACCCUUUUUUGCAUGUGCCUUUCCAGCAGGAGGGGUAGGGAGGGUAGCUAGGGAGCCAGGGAGGCAAAGGGAAUAGACUAUCCCACUGUUUUCCACUGUGAGGGAGGAUAAGAGCUGCCAUCCCCUUCUGUAGUGGAAAGAGCCACCCUCUCUCACUCUACCCCCAGUCUCAGCCUGCAUCCUGAACCUCUCUCAGGUCUAGUGGAAAGUAAAGCACUUCCCUGAUGCCCAGAGUGUGGAUUCCCUCUUGACCUUUCCAGAAUCUGCAUGCCCUGACCACGCACCAAUUCCAUUCCUGUCUCCUUAGGGUGAGGGUUAUGGGCACUUGCUCCAACGCAGUGGACCUCUGCCAGGACCUUACCCGUGCAAUCUAGUGAUGACAUUUUAUCCCAUGGCCCAUAGUGCCACCCCACCAGUGUGUCUGCACCUGCUAGAUGCCUGGGUCCUGCCUCCUGUGCUCUUGCCCCUGCCUCUUGGGCUCCAUGGGCCGGGCUGUGAGCACUGGCAUUCCCCACCUCCAGCACGUGACUUGCCCAUGGAGGGCCCUGGCAGCCUAGAAACCAGUUUGGGCUGUGGAAAGAAAAAAACUCAGCAUCCCCCUAAAGCCAGCCAUGAGGAUCAGAUCUGCUGGCCACCUACUUCCGUGGUUCCCCACCCAAGUGGAGUGCUGUUUCUGAGGCCCAGGAAAAGACAGCUAAAGGAUUAAUGCUCGGAUUCAGCGUUAUCUGCUGGGAGCAUGGCAAAAACAAAGGACGUGUUGGGAUUCAGGCUGGUUAGGCAGACAGAAGCCAUGAGGCCUGCUUUUCUGCAGUGCACCUGUGAGCUAAAUUAGACAUGGCACUUUGGGAGAACCAGUGACCAUUUUAAAAGUCUCUUUCGCAGUUGGUAACUAAUUCAUCUCAUUCUUUCAAAGCCGCUAAUAACUCAAACAUAUGUAGAAAUGCUUCACAUAGCUUUUAUUGCAGGGACUAUGCUUUGAAAAAAAAAAAAAAAACCCACCAAAUUGCAAACGCUGUCUCUGGACAUCUUGUUUCAUGGAAAAUUGUAUUUUAAAAUUACAGCUCUAAGCCGUAUGGAAGUCCAAUUUGAAAAAGUCAUUUGGCAAAAGGUCCUUGAACUUGGAGAAUUGCUUUCCCUUGUUUCCCACAAUUACCAGCUGUCACUUACAGUUUAGAAAGACAGAAUAUAAUUUUUAAAAGAAAACUUCCCCCUGUCAGUUUAAUGAUUUGCCAGCAAUUAUGUCAAGGUUACUAGGAAUCUCUAGAGUCUAAAGUUAAAUCCUAGUGUGCAGCUAUCAAGCUGAGUUGGAGAUAACAGUAAUCUACAGGUUGUUUCUAACAGAAGAAAGGAAAUGAACAGCAUUAGAAGUUCAUUCUCCACUUGGCUGGGCACAGUGGCUCAUGCCUGUAAUCCCGGCACUUUGGGAGGCCCAGGCAGGUGGAUCGCUUGAGGUCAGGAGUUCAGACCAGCCUGGCCAACAUGGUGAAACCCCGUCUCUACUAAAAAAUACAAAAAAAUUAAAAAAAAAAAAAAAGCUCAUUCUCCAGAAUUCAAGGUCUUGAGUUUUUUGGGUGACAGCUUGUUAGAAGGCGUGGUAGUCUCACCAGCAUGCAGGUCUCAGGUCCAAAUCACAGGCUCAUCUUUUACCCCACAAACCUGCAGGACCUGGCAUAAUCUUCUAAAUGAGCAAAUGCAGCCAGGAAGAAUUAACUUUUAAAAGUCCAAAAGGGUGGUGAUAGAAUUUGAGUUUAAUUCUAAUUCCAGUGUCUCUGUAAAAUUAUAAAAAGUGGAGUUUCCUUAGAGAAUAGAUGCGCUAUCUCAUGCCACAAUGACAAUGACAGUAAAAAUAUUUUUUGUCCAUCAACAGAGAGUAAAUAAACACCAUUACUUAAUGCCACACCACCACGUUAAACCACACACGUCAUUUACAGAGAGAUGUGAUAUUCCAUUACUGUUGUUUACUAGUACCUGGAAGUGAAACUAACUGUGCAUGAAGCCCUGGGUGCUGCUUUUCAGCAUGAGAGCUGAAUUUAAUACAAAAUUAAUUCGCAAGGAGAAAAGAUGGGGGACAGCAGCAAUUGCACAGCCAGAGUCUAAAUAGAACAAACAGCUGUCUGUUAAGACCAUAUGUUUUGUGUGUGUGUGGCAGCAAAGUCUCUUCAAAGAGUGAAGUCUGACUUAAAUUUGCAGAUUGGCUUCAUCUGCAAGGCGGUAAUGUUGCAUUUCCCAGCUGGCUUGCAAGGAGUCCUUCCAAGGGCUUAGGAGGAAGAACCGUACACAUACCAGAGCCCUCUAACAUCAGGAGAGACUUGGAAAGGUCUGGAAGUAAAUAUCUUGCAAAUUUGCUAAAUUGUUAUUUGUGGAAAGAACUUGGAAUUCAGAGUCAGAAAAUGCGGGUUGGAGUCUUGGACCCCUCUACUUACUAGCUGAGUGACAGCAGACAGAGACAAUCACGGUCUCCAGGCCUCAGUUUUCUCUUCUGUAAAAUGGGGAUCAUAAUAUCUAUCUUCUCUGCAGGGUUAUUAUGAAGAUUAAGUAAAAAUAAUAGAAAAAAAUGAAUGGAUACAAAAACUGAUGAAAUCCAAGUCAAGUUUCUAGUGUAGUUGAUUAUAUUCUGCCAAUGUCAAUCUCUUGGUUUUGAUAAUGUACUAUAGUUAUGUGAGAUGUCACCAUUAGGUGAAGCUGGUGAAGCAUACGUGGGAAUCACUCCAUAUAUUUUUACAAAUCCUUGUGAGUCUAUAAUUAUUUCAGAAUAAAGGCUGGGGCACAGUGGCUCAUACCUCUAAUCCCAGCACUUUGGGAGGCCAAGGCAGGAAGAUCACCUGAGUCCAGGAGUUCAAGACCAGCCUGAGCAACAAAGUGAAACCCCAUCUCCACACACACACACACACACACACACACACACACACACACACACACAAAGAAAAAAAAAAGGAAAGAAAAAAUUAGCCAAGUGUGAUGGCAUACUCCCGUAGUCCCAGCUACAUGGCAGGAUGAGGCAGGAGGGUCACUUGAGUCCAGGAGGUUGAGGCUGCAGUGAGCUGUGUUUGCGCCACUGCACUCCAGCCUGGGUGACAGAGUGACACCCUGUCUCAAACAAAUAAAAAAAAAUGGGUUAAAAGAAAUAGGAACCAUUUAUUAUGUGGCAAUGCUGCAAUAAGCGCUUUACUAUCUCAUUUAAUUCUCAAAACAACUCUGUGUGGAAGUUACUGAAGCACUGAGAAAGGUAAUUUGCCCACAGGCUACCAGGCUGGAAGUGGCAGUGCAGGGAACAGAACCCCAAGGUGGUCUUGCUCUUCAACACCAUGUAAUAGCUAGAGCUUGAGAUCCUCAUCUGGGACAAUAUCUGACAUUUGGUAGGCAGAAAAUAAUAUAGUUCAGAUUUUCUUAACAGCAAACAGAAAUAGGAAACCCCUUGCAGCAGAAGCUGCUGGUGCCUUACCUAUUGCCCACACCCCAACCACUUCUGUGCACCUGGCUCCACCUCUUAGUGCCACACCAGCAUUUCUCUGCUUAAGAACUUUCUCUGAUCAUGUUUUUUAUCCGGCUUAGCUUGCCCAUGUGGGCAGGUGACAAGUGCAAGGGAGGUAAUGCCCCCACCCAGAGCAGCCGCCAGCUGGUGAUCCUGGUAGUUGGUGUAUACACACUCCGGCUCCCUCACUGAGAAGUGUGCUUUGCAGGGCUCCCUGCAGAUGUCAGCUCCAGCGCCCACGGCAGUCACUGGCUAAUAAUAUACUCUACCAGUCGCCUUUCCUUCCCCAGUUGCACUUCCCUACUCCUCUACUGGCGUUUCCUGGGAUCCCCUCUCAAAUAAGCCAUUUGUAUGUGAGUACCUGUCUCAGGUCUGUCUUAGGGGAACCCUAACGAUGACAUCUCCAUUCCAUAGAAGAAAUGGUAUUCCUAAACAAUUGUGUAUACAUUGAAAACAUGCUAUACAUUCAGCAGAGAAGCUUAAAAUCUAAAGCAUUCUAAAGACUCUUUUGCCUAUAGAGAAUGAAGUACUACAUCUUAAUUUACCUUAUGGUAGAUCUGGAUUUGAGAAUAUAUUGCUGAGUUUAGGCCUAUUGAGGAUAGAACAGUAAAGCCAAUCUCUGGUUACCUGUUGUAAUGGGAAGGCAUUAUUGGCAUGAAUUAUUGAAACGAAAUGACCUCUAGACACAGUGGCUGACGCCUGUAAUCCCAACACUUUUGGAGGCCAGUGUGGGAGGAUCGCUAGAGCCCAGUAGUUCGAGACCAGCCUGGGAAACCGUCCAGGACGCUGUCUCUACAAAAAAAAAAUUUUUUUUUAAUUAGCCAGGUGUGGUAGAAUGCAUGUGCAGUCUCAGCUACUCUGGAGGCUGAGGUGGGAGGAAUACUUGAGCCCAGGAGUUCAAGGCUGCAGUAAGCUAUGAUCGUG